UACAUGGGGUGCAAACGUUGCUCGGAAUUAUUGGGCGUAAAGCGCACGUAGGCGGUUCGUUAAGUCGGAUGUGAAAGCCCUCGGCUCAACUGAGGAAGUGCACCCGAAACUGGCGAGCUUGAGUACGAAAGAGGAUCGCGGAAUUCCCGGUGUAGAGGUGAAAUUCGUAGAUAUCGGGAGGAACACCGGUGGCGAAGGCGGCUCACUGGCCCGAUACUGACGCUGAGGUGCGAAAGCGUGGGGAGCAAACAGGG
rnacentral:rRNA from 1 species